rnacentral:rRNA from 1 species
CGUACACUCCUGCGGGAGGCAGCAGUGGGGAAUUUUGGACAAUGGGCGAAAGCCUGAUCCAGCCAUGCCGCGUGCAGGAUGAAGGCCUUCGGGUUGUAAACUGCUUUUGUACGGAACGAAACGGCCUUUUCUAAUAAAGAGGGCUAAUGACGGUACCGUAAGAAUAAGCACCGGCUAACUACGUGCCAGCAGCCGCGGUAAUACGUAGGGUGCAAGCGUUAAUCGGAAUUACUGGGCGUAAAGCGUGCGCAGGCGGUUAUGUAAGACAGUUGUGAAAUCCCCGGGCUCAACCUGGGAACUGCAUCUGUGACUGCAUAGCUAGAGUACGGUAGAGGGGGAUGGAAUUCCGCGUGUAGCAGUGAAAUGCGUAGAUAUGCGGAGGAACACCGAUGGCGAAGGCAAUCCCCUGGACCUGUACUGACGCUCAUGCACGAAAGCGUGGGGAGCAAACAGGAGUAGAAACCCUUGUAGUCCCAU